rfam:Chryseobacterium sp. IHB B 17019, complete genome.
CCCUAGCCCAGAUUGCAGUGGAAAUCCUUUUUUGAAAAAAAAGAUUGUAGCGGAAAGCUGGAAAAAGC